rnacentral:ncRNA from 4 species
UUUUGUUCGUUCGGCUCGCGUGA